GAUCAUUUCUCAUUUUCUUUCUUUUGUUUUAUUUCAACAAUAGUUCCAAGCUUCUGGGUUCAAAAUCUUUGGUUUUGAUAUUCAGGGACAAGAAGUGACAGCAAGAACAAGAACAAAUCCAUUUUAAGGUAGCAAAGAAACCGUAACGUUGUGUUAUCAUAAAACCGAGGUAGAUGUCAUAAUUCAAUUUUAACUUAUUGCAUUAUAUAAGCCGUAAAGACCCCCUCGAUUCGAAUUCGAUUACAGACUUCAUGAAGACACCCGUCCGUACCACUAGCAGACAUGACUUGCAAAACUCCAAACGUUCACUAGAGGGCAGCAAACAACUAGAGUACUGUAUCUCUUUACGGUCAACUGGUGGUCAUUUGGAAUUUUGCAAACCAAUAAGUGUUUUCUGCUGUUAUUACAGUAAAUUAUUAAACAUUACGAGGAACAAUGCAUUUUCUCAGUAUCAAAUUAAUUUACUGUAAGGAAUAGAGUGUAUUAGGGCUUGUUUUAAAAAUGUAGUUUCAACUGAAAUAAAGUUAAAGUAAAAUAUUUCAGAAAGUAAUCUGGUGCUAAGUAUGGUCUACCAAUAAAUAAUAGCAGAGAUACAGAAAAUUCUAAAUCUGCUUUACAUAUUGGUCAACUCAGUGUCUGCUAACCAGAUGUAGCAGCCUUAAACAAGUAAUUUCUGGAUGGCAGAAAUGUCUCUUUUGUUCCAUUUACAACAAACUCAGUCUAAUUAAGCAUAUUGUUUUUAGACUUUAAAGUUGAUUUUGGCUUCAAUCCAUCCCCAGCAUGGGGGAGGCAACUCAAAAUCAUAGACAGCUAUUUGAGUUUUAAGUAAAGGUUUUGGUAUUCUUAUAGAGCAAGGUUGUCAAACUUGCAUCGUCGUGGCAUCGUCAUGUGACAUAUUGCGACUUUUUUCCCCUUUGCUAAACCAGGCAUGGCCAUGGCCAUGAUGCAUCGGGGCUGCAGGCCGUGAGUUUGACACCCCUGUUAUAGAGGUUGUGCCAUAUAAAUGAUCUGUAAUGCAUCACUGCUGAUGAAGUAGCUAGGGGCUGGAAUCAGCCUUGCUCUUAUUAGAUACUUAGAUUGUGAUUGGCAUGACCUUUCCCACCCAGUUAUUAUGUAUUGCCUUUCAUGCAUUCUUAAGAUACUUCUGCCCAAAUAAUACCUGACCCAAAUUCCCAAGUUGCAAAAGUUCUAUUAUAAAUUUUGUAAGGCCUCUGCAGGCUUCAGGAAUAGGCAGUUUUGCCUAUUACUGUUACCCUGUUUCCCCCAAAAUAAGACAUCCCCUGAUAAUAAGCCCAAUUGGGCUUUUGAGUGCAUGGCAAUAAGGCCAAGCACUUAUUUCAGGGUUCAAAAAAAUAUAAGACGGGGUCUUAUUUUCGGGGAAACACAGUAUGUCUCACCAAUGUCCUCCUUUUGCUCCUGGGAUGACCAUCUUAGUUUCUCUCCUCUGCUGUCAUCACUUAAGCUACUGUAGUGAUAGGUGUCUUUCCAUCAAGCUUCAAGCACCUUAGCAAGCAAUAGUCAGUUGUUUGGUUGUUCUUUCAGCAGCAAACAUCAAAGUGGAAAGGUAAAGACAGGGAGGCAGCAUGAUGCUAUCUGGCAGUAAUAUCUUUUAUUUUUUGCAUUUCUUGUUAUUUAUGAGAAGUGUUUGCUGGCUCAAACUUGAGUUUUAAGAUUUCUAUGUGGAACCAUUUGACUAGGCUAUUCUGAGUCUGAUUUUUAUGGCUGAGUACAGCAAAGAGUGUAUGAGCAUUCAUGCCAGUGAUGGGAUUCAGCCAGUUCUCUCCGGAUCAUGCGAACCAGUAGCGGCGACUGCAAGAGGCUCCGCCCACCCACCCGGACGUAAUGCGCGACUACUGUGCAUGUGCAGGAGACUGUGCGCAUGCGCAGAGGUGGCACGUGCGCUCACAUUUGCGAACCGUUAGGGAAGGUGGCAUCUACCCCCGACAAGAAUAGCGAGAAUGUUCAAGAACAAAUCUGAGAAGUGUUGGAAAUGUCAUCAGAUACCGGGCUCAUAUUACCAUAUAUGGUGGACAUAUGUAGAAGCGAAAAGAUACUGGACUAAAAUCCACACAUGGUUGGAAAAAAUGACAAAAAAACAUAUAGACUUUAAGCCAGAGAUUUUUUUAUUAGGGAUUGUGCCAGAAAUAUACAAUAGACAAUUGAGAUAUUUGAUUGUAAAUGUUUUAACAGCUGCUGGGAUUGUGUUUGCUAAAAACUGGAAAAAUGAGAAAAUACCAACGCAAGAUGAAAUUAUUAAGAAAAUCAUGGAAUGUGCUGAAAUGAGUAAAUUGACAUUUGAAAUUAGAGAACAAGAAGAUAAACAAUACUACAAGAUACGGGAUUUAUUUUAUCAAUGGCUAGAUAAUAAAAGAUGGAAAUGAAAUAUGAAAUAUGAAAUGUUAUAAAUAUAAUAUUUGAAAAUAAAAUUUUUGAAGCAACAAAGCCAUAGUUAAAUAAAUGAUAAAUGAGGAUGUUGAUUUGUUUGGCAAUAUGAGAAAUUAGAUAAUUAGUAAAUUUUGAAUAUGGGGAUGAAGCACAAAAGAUUUGUAACCAACUGACACACUGUUUGUAUUUGUAAUGGAUGAUGGGUUUUAUGUUUUGUUUUAAAAAAUUAAAAUUAAAAAAAAAACG